CACAGUGAGAAGAGCUGAUUGAAAUUCAUGGUGUAGUCUUAUCAACUAUGAGUCAGAAGAAAAGAAGCACUAAAUCACUUAAUGAUUGUCUUUUCAAGCAAGCAAAAGAAAUGGGGGAAGGAAAGGAAUGAUACUGACAGAGCAGAUGGAUGAGAUCAAUGAUUGCUUUCAGAAGAUUAACAAUAGGUCAGCAAACAUACUGUGG
rnacentral:lncRNA from 1 species